rnacentral:lncRNA from 1 species
GAAAGGAAAUGGAUAUCGCUGCUGGAGGCAACGACUAAUUUAAGCAGAGUAGGAGAAAAACUCUUUUUUUUUUUCCUUUGUGCCAGUUCCUUUUACACGACUUCAGAACAUUCUAUGACAACCCAGCGUGCAACUUGGCACUGUCAGAAGAGUCCUGGGAAAGAAAGGAAAUGCGGUGGAGGCUUAGAUGAACACAGGAUGAUUAUGGAGCAAUACUUGAAGCCCAAAUGAAGCUCUGAACCCGGAGACUUCUCAAAACCUGUCAUCAAUGCUCUAACUCUU